rnacentral:rRNA from 1 species
GACGUAGGGUGCAAGCGUUGUCCGGAUUUACUAGGGCGUAAAGGCGCGUAGGCGGUCAGCACAAGAUCAGUUGUGAAAUCUCCGGGCUUAACUCGGAAAGGUCAACUGAUACUGUGACUGACUGAGAGUGGCAGAAGGGGCAACGUGGAAUUCUCGGUGUAGCGGUGAAAUGACGUAGAUAUCGAAGAGGGAACACCUGGCGGCGAAGGCGGGUUGCUGGGCUGACACG